UACGUAGGGCGCAAGCGUUAUCCGGAAUUAUUGGGCGUAAAGAGCUCGUAGGCGGUUUGUCGCGUCUGCCGUGAAAGUCCGGGGCUCAACUCCGGAUCUGCGGUGGGUACGGGCAGACUAGAGUGAUGUAGGGGGAGACUGGAAUUCCUGGUGUAGCGGUGAAAUGCGCAGAUAUCAGGAGGAACACCGAUGGCGAAGGCAGGUCUCUGGGCAGUAACUGACGCUGGAGGAGCGAAAGCGUGGGGAGCGAACAGG
rnacentral:rRNA from 1 species